rnacentral:rRNA from 1 species
CACGGAGUUAGCCGGAGCUUAUUCUCCCGGUACUGUCAUUAUCAUCCCGGGUAAAAGAGCUUUACAACCCUAAGGCCUUCAUCACUCACGCGGCAUUGCUGGAUCAGGCUUUCGCCCAUUGUCCAAUAUUCCCCACUGCUGCCUCCCGUAGGAGUCUGGGUCGUGUCUCAGUCCCAGUGUGGCUGAUCAUCCUCUCAGACCAGCUAAGGAUCGUCGCCUUGGUGCGCCUUUACCACACCAACUAGCUAAUCCUACGCGGGCUCAUCCCUCGGCGAUAAAUCUUUGGACUUACGUCGUCAUCCGGUAUUAGCAGUCAUUUCUAACUGUUAUUCCGAACCUAAGGGGCAGAUUCCCACGCGUUACGCACCCGUGCGCCACUAGAUCCGAAGAUCUCGUUCGACUUGCAUGUGUUAGGCAUGCCGCCAGCGUUCGUCUGAGCCAGGAUCAAACGUCU